rnacentral:rRNA from 1 species
AUUGAACGCUGGCGGCGUGCUUAACACAUGCAAGUCGAGCGGCAGCGCGGGAGCAAUCCUGGCGGCGAGCGGCGAACGGGUGAGUAAUGCUUCGGAAUCUACCCAGUAGUGGGGAAUAACCAGUCGAAAGACUGGCUAAUACCGCAUACGACCUAUGGGUGAAAGCAGGGGACCGCAAGGCCCUGCGCUAUUGGAUGACACGAAGGCGGAUUAGCUAGUUGAUGAGGUAACGGCUCACCAAGGCGACGAUCCGGAGCUGGUUUGAGAGGACGACCAGCCACACUGGGACUGAGACACGGCCCAGACUCCUCCGGGAGGCAGCAGUGGGGAAUAUUGGACAAUGGGGGAAACCCUGAUCCAGCGACGCCGCGUGUGUGAAGAAGGCCUGCGGGUUGUAAAGCACUUUUAGUGGGGAGGAAAACCCCCGACCUAAUACGUCGGGAAUUGACUUAACCCAAAGAAAAAGCACCGGCUAACUCUGUGCCAGCCGCCGCAGUAA